rnacentral:rRNA from 1 species
AACGAACGCUGGCGGCAGGCCUAACACAUGCAAGUCGAACGAGACCUUCGUGUCUAGUUGCGCACGGGUGCGUAACGCGUGGGAACCUGCCCGUAUGUUCGGAAUAACACCCCGUAGGGGGGGCUAAUACAGGGUAAUUUCUUCUGACCAAAGAUUUAUCGUCUGUGUAUGGGCCGGCGUUGGAUUAGCUAGUUGGUAGUGUAAAAGCCUACCAAGGCGACGAUCCAUAGCUGGGCUGAGAGGAUGAUCCGCGACACUUGGACUGAGACGCGGCCCAGACUCCUGCGGGAGGCAGGAGUGGGGAAUACUGGACUAUGGGCGAGAGCCUGAUCCAGCAAUGCCGCGUGAGUGAUGAAGGCCUUAGGGAUGUACAGCUCUUUUACACGGGAUGAUAAUGACAGUACCGGGAGAAUAAGCACCGGCUAACUCCGUG